ensembl:lncRNA
AACAAUUUCAUUAGGUGAAAAAGAGUUAUUCAAGACCAACAUACACAGCGAGAUGUGUACGGGAAGGAAUUUAUGUUAUGCAGCUUUCCGUAAUGUCUAUCAGCCUACUGAUUAGAUGACACAGGGAAGGCUGGAGUUGUUGGGAAGUGUUUUAUUGUUUUUAUAUUUAGAGCUAGUCUGUUUCAUUUACUAAAGUGGAAAAAUCACUGAGAACACUGAGAACAGCUUCUACCGAGACUUCCAGGUGACAUGUUUAAAAAGGCUUCUUUAAAAGAAGGGCGGAUCACUUAUCCUUUCUUUAUCCGCAAGAUUAAAAACGACAGUCAACAUACUGAAGCACGUAGAUGCGCUGAGAGAAAUCUGCUCCAAAGACCGUCAUGGGGUUUAUUUACGAAUAGGACAGGAUACAGAUUAAUGAAGGUCUUGCUACUGUUGGCAGUUUUCCUGAGAACCAGCAGCAAAGAGCGAAUACUUCAACCGAGCAACACCGUCAAAUCGCCAGGCGCAACGCGAGAUCUACUGCAGCGAUGACAGGGGUUUGUACAAAUACAGCAAACUGAGCAGGCAGGCCUCAAGUCUUCUCUAUACACAGCUGCAGUUACAGUAUAUACAACAGGGCACAUCACAGAUCGUAAGGACGAGCAGCGGUCAGCUCACAUUCACCGCACGAUUGCCAAUUUUCACAGUUUGCUGUGUCAGUUUUCUCAGAUUUGUUUGGACCACAACUCAAAGGGUACAUUUCAGCAGGGCGUAAGUACGCGUAGGGUCAUGAAGCAAUGCUGAAAACGCAUACGGACUCCCUUGAUCAUUCCAUAGCUUCGGCUCAUGCAUAGUAAGACCAAUACAGACUAUACAAAGGCUACAUUAUAUCAUUUAGGCUUAUUCAUAUGUGCACAAUUAUGAAAAUAUUAAAACCACGACUAGAGUUUUAGAAAAUACCAUCACUGACUCUACUUUGGUAGAAAGGAACAUCAUGACGUCUAGAAAUCAUAUAGUGUGGCUUUUCGGUACAUACAGUAAAUCACGUGUCGUGUGAGUGGACAGCCGGUUGUAUUUUACAAUCUAGCUCUUGAAAUCCAACGUGGUGUUUUUGAUAUGUUUAAGUUCAGUUUCCGUUGCACAGUAUUCACAAUAUCGUAGAAAUAAAAAGGCAGAUCCAAUGGCUGAGCCUGAUGUUGGACCUGAGCUCUGGGAUCAUAUGCGUAAAGAAUCUCCAGUGGUGAUCGGGGAACGUUCACUUCUUUUCCAAGACUGUAAAUGCUGCGUCACACGGCAGUGUCAGUCAUUUGGAGGAAAGCUC